rnacentral:misc_RNA from 1 species
GGAAGUAAAAGCCGUAACAAGGUUUCCGUAGGUGGACCUGCGGAAGGAUCAUUAUUGUAUAACCGAGGUGCGAGGGCUGUCGCUGACCCGAAAGGUCGUGCACGCCCGAGUGCCCUCACACACAUCCAUCUCACCCCUAUGUGCACCACCGCGUGGGUCCCCCUUUGGCUUGUUCGGAGGGGGGCUUACGUUUUCACACAAACUUUGUAUGCAGUGUAGAAUGUAUUUUUUGUUUUUGCGAUCACGCAAUCAAUACAACUUUCAACAACGGAUCUCUUGGCUCUC